rnacentral:rRNA from 1 species
GUCCACGCCGUAAACGAUGAGUGCUAGGUGCUGUGGGUAUUGACCCCUGCGGUGCCGCAGCUAACGCGUUAAGCACUCCGCCUGGGGAGUACGGCCGCAAGGCUAAAACUCAAAGGAAUUGACGGGGGCCCCGCACAAGCGGUGGAGCAUGUGGUUCAAUUCGACGCAACGCGCAGAACCUUACCUGGGUUAAAUCCACUCGAACUUGACAGAGAUGUCUUGGUGCCCUUCGGGGAGCGAGUGAGAAGGUGCUGCAUGGCUGUCGU